GCAGCAGUGAGGAAUAUUGGACAAUGGAGGCAACUCUGAUCCAGCCAUGCCGCGUGAAGGAAGAAUGUCCUACGGAUUGUAAACUUCUUUUAUUUGGGAAGAAACUUCUCUACGUGUAGAGAACUGACGGUACCAAACGAAUAAGGACCGGCUAACUCCGUGCCAGCAGCCGCGGUAAUACGGAGGGUCCAAGCGUUAUCCGGAAUCAUUGGGUUUAAAGGGUUCGCAGGCGGUUUAAUAAGUCAGUGGUGAAAUCUCUCGGCUCAACCGAGAAACUGCCAUUGAUACUGUUAGACUUGAAUAUAGUUGGAGUAGGCGGAAUGUGUAGUGUAGCGGUGAAAUGCUUAGAUAUUACACAGAACACCGAUAGCGAAGGCAGCUUACUAAACUAUUAUUGACGCUCAUGAACGAAAGCGUGGGGAGCGAACAGGAUUAGAUACCCUGGUAGUCCACGCCGUAAACUAUGAUUACUCGAUAUGGGCGAUACACUGUCAGUGUCUAAGCGAAA
rnacentral:rRNA from 1 species